rnacentral:rRNA from 1 species
AUGGCCGUCGUCGCGCCGACCCCCGCCCCGCCCGCCGCGCCGGCGCCCGCCGCCGCGGCGGCUGCUCCAGCCCCGGCCCUCGCCCCCGCCCCUGCCGCGGAUCAAGCCACAGAUCUGUUGCAGAAGAUGUCGCUGGAAUCGCAGCCCAAGGCGGCGGCAGAUGGAACCGAGCUUGCCGGUGCCACCAAGCAGGGGCCUGUGGCCAGCCAGCCGCUCAGCGUGUCGAUCCCACAGGACCGGUCCAUCACUCCGGUGGUUCAAGAUUUUACGGAUCCCAACAUGUUCUAUCUGCCAGCAUAUUACUAUGGAGAAUUGGGUCUUCCAGGUUACGACGGAACCAUGAGCGAGUGGGAUGAAUAUACUAGAUAUGUAAAUCAAGAUGGAGUGGAGGUUACCCCAGCAGUAUAUGGAGAUAUUUAUGGAUAUGGGUAUGCUCCUUAUGGCGCGUACUCUCCAGCUAGUUCCCCAGUCCCAACAGUUGAUGGUCAGAUGUUUGCCGCACAACAUUACCAGUAUCCAGCUUAUUAUCAGCCUCCUACCCCGAUUCCUUCUACAACUCAAGGUGACCAGCAGCCUUCGGCCAAUGCUGAUAAUAAGCCAGCAGCUAAGGCAGAUGCUGCCAAAACAACCACAAAUGGUGUUCCCAAUGUUUCUGCUCAGAGUAACAGCGCAACUGCUCCCCUUGGGUCAAGCUAUCAGAAUUCAUCACUGACCCCUGAUGGAACCUAUAGGGCACCCUUGCUAGGUGGAGUCCCUUCUACUGGUUACGUGGACUCAACCUAUGGGUAUGACACCACAGGGGCACACUAUGCUUGGUACGAUGGUUCUGCCUAUACCAAUGCACAGCAAAGACCAACUACAGCUAAUUACACGCCGUCUUCAGCGUAUAAUAGCAAUGGCUCUUCUGCAAGGUAUCAGACCAAGAGCCCCACACCGCAGCAGACGGGCAACAGGAGACCAACGACUACAACAGGGUCAGCUACUCCUACAUACCCAAACAGGAUGUACUCGAGCACCCAGUCUUACAACCAGUAUGGAAAUUCGGUCAAAACUGGUCUUAUGUAUGGAAACACUGGCUAUGGAAGCACUGGCUACGGAAGCAGCGGCUACGGAAGCAAUGGCUACGGAAGCAGCGGCUAUGGAAGCAGUGGCUACGGAAGCAGCGGCUAUGAUUCCAGGUUAUAUGGUCGGUGGGGUGUUUCUAUGGAUACCAGAUACAACAGGCCCAGAGGCCGUGGCAACGGAUAUUAUGGUUUUGGCAAUGAGAGUCAGGAUGGAACAAUUGAGCUCAACAGAGGUCCUAGGUCUGGUCGUUUCAAGAACCAGAAAGCAUUUGGCCAUACUGUUACUAUUGCUGUGAAAGGGCAGACCCUCCCUUCAAGUGAAAACAAGGAUGCUAGUGACAUACCUGAUAAGGCACAGUUCAACCUAGAGGAUUUCCCUGUCCAGUAUGAUGAUGCAAAGUUUUUUGUCAUCAAAUCAUACAGCGAGGAUGAUAUCCAUAAGAGUAUAAAAUACAAUGUGUGGGCAAGUACCACCAAUGGAAAUAAGAAGCUUGAUGCUGCUUAUCAAGAAGCUCAGGCAAAGGGCUCUAGCUGCCCUAUAUUCUUGUUUUUCUCGGUGAAUACAAGUGGACAGUUUGUUGGUGUUGCUGAAAUGACUGGUCCUGUUGAUUUUGAAAAAACUCUAGAGUUCUGGCAACAAGACAAGUGGAAUGGUUCAUUCUCUGUCAAGUGGCACAUUGUCAAGGAUGUUCCCAACAACAUUCUCAAGCACAUCGUCCUAGAGAACAAUGAGGGCAAGCCGGUCACAAACAGCCGUGACACACAGGAUAUCAACCUUGAGCAAGGUAUUCAGAUGCUCAAGAUAUUCAAAGAGCAUGUCAGCAAGACCUCUAUCCUGGAAGACUUCGCCUUCUAUGAGAACCGCCAGAAGUUGAUGCAGGAGAAGAGAAUAAAACAACAGCAGAUCCAAAAGCAGGUGUGGGACAGUAGGGCUCCGAAUCCUGUUGCCGGAGAGAAACAGCAAGAACUCGCCAACGGGAAGCCAAAGGUGUCUCUACCGAACGGUGUCAAUGGGGAGAAACAGCAGGAUGCUGUCAAUGGGAAGCCAAAGUCACCUGUAGCAAAUGGUGUCAACGGGGAUGCGAAGGUUCCGGCAGAGAAAGCCGCUGCCGCUGCUCCUCCAGCUGUGACCUACGCGGCGAAGGUGGCCCAAACAGCAGCGGCCGAGAAGAAGCCUGUGGCCACCGAGAAAAAGCCUGUCGUCGCCAACGGUGCUGUCAAGACCGGUGUAGCUGCUUGA